rnacentral:tRNA from 1 species
GGGUCGUGAGCAGGUCUGGUGAUUGCGCGGGGGUGAAAAUCCCGUGAACCUGGUUCGAUUCCAGGACGACCCA